ensembl:snoRNA
GGGGUGUGCUCAGAGCAGGGGGCCCGAAGAAUGGCUCCUCUGUUUACAACACACCCAACAGGAAUUCUGGGGCUAUGAUGAUGAGAGGCACAACACUUGUGGCCUCCCCGUGAGCAUAUGCCCUACACAU